AGAUGAUUUUUCUAAAAUAAUGAGGCCAAUCAUGAGAUGACUCAUGAAGGAAAAGAUCAAUUGAAAAAUGCAUGUUUGGAAAAAAAUUGCAUGUUUGGACUUACCUUCAGUUAUCAUUAGGAAACAGAAUAAAACCUAGACCAGAAGUUAAGUAUUUUUUUUUUCCUAAGCUCACAAUUGUAGUUUCUAUGAUUUGAAUCAUCAGAAGAACAAACUUGAUAAUCCUGGAAAUUUAGGAGACAUGAGGUCAUGGAAGGUCGUGGAAGGUCCUGAAGGUCCUGAAGGCGAGCAAAGCAAUUUGCAUGAUAGCAAGAUGUUGCUAAGGAAGACAAAAGAUAGAAGCAACUGCCUACCUUGCCAACCACAUGCCCUCACAAAGGAGGUGACAUCGGUGCUGGGUCUUGAAAGAUGAGGAAAACUGAGCCCUGGAGAGCCUGAGGAACAUGCCCAGCGUCUCAAGUGAGGAAAUGGUGGGCUAGGAUCCAAACCCGGGAGGUGGGGAGCUGGCCACUGGGCCACAGCGCCUCCCCAUAGGAUGGGGCAUGGAACACAGCGACAUUAAGUGACUUGCUCAAGGCCAACAACUUGGAAGUGGAGGAGCUGGGAUUUGAACUGAGCCUGAUGCCGGAUGAUGACACAAACCAGCAAGCUAAGGAUUCAGUCUGCCCCGUGGGUUAAGAAUGCUAAAUGCCUCCGGGCAAAAGAGAUAUGAACAUGCUGCACUGCUCCUAGCUACGGGACUUGGGGCACGCUCUUCUCCAAGCCUCAGCUACUGGAUCUGUGAAAUGGGGUGAUUUCCACCUCCCUGGAUUCCUGGGAACGCGUCCUGCGGUCGUUGAAG